AUGGGUAGCGUCCGUAGCCCAAAAGAUGGAUUUCACCAGCUGUUCAUCCCAAGUCGCUGUGUAUGGGUCCUUGAGCUCCGUUGUCGUUUAGAUGAUGGUGUUUCCCCGUGGUGUGAAAGGCUUUCUAUCCCAGUUUCUUGGGAGCCAGGGGUCCUCACAGAUUUUUACCGCCGUGCCAUCGCCCACUCGGUUGAUGAUUAUUCCUUGGUUGAGUACCUCAACACCUUGCAAAAUGCCUCGCCAUGCAUAGGACAUCCCAUCUUUUGCUUCCGCAUGAAGAAUGUCCAUAUCUGGGUAUUACCUCGCCCGGGUUGUCGAACAGUCUCCAGCCCUGCUCAUGGCUAG
rnacentral:rRNA from 1 species